UACGUAGGGUGCAAGCGUUGUCCGGAAUUAUUGGGCGUAAAGAGCUCGUAGGCGGUUUGUCGCGUCUGCUGUGAAAACUCAGGGCUUAACCCUGAGCCUGCAGUGGGUACGGGCAGACUAGAGGUGUGGUAGGGGAGAUCGGAAUUCCUGGUGUAGCGGUGGAAUGCGCAGAUAUCAGGAGGAACACCGGUGGCGAAGGCGGAUCUCUGGGCCAUAACUGACGCUGAGGAGCGAAAGCAUGGGGAGCGAACAGG
rnacentral:rRNA from 1 species